rnacentral:misc_RNA from 1 species
UCUUCUCGUACGAUUAACUAUUCUUUGGUUGGUUGUGGGGUUUCCCCAGCCGGCCAAGGGAACACACACACGAAAUUAAUCUGUCUAAACACAAACGAAUAAUCAAAACUUUCAACAACGGAUCUCUUGGUUCUCGCAUCGAUGAAGAACGCAGCGAAAUGCGAUAAGUAAUAUGAAUUGCAGCCUUUGUGAAUCAUCGAAUCUUUGAACGCACAUUGCGCCUUGGGGUAUUCCCCAAGGCAUGCCUGUUUGAGCGUCAGACUCCCUCAACCCCCCGGGGUUGGCAGUGAGCGGACGCCGAGUCCCCUCGAAAGAUUGGAACCCAGAGCACAUGUCUAGGAUUACCCAACUCAUGUUGUGCUGGCGCAGACCCCCCAUAUACUUUCGACCUCAAAUCAGGUAGGACUACCCGCUGAACUUAAGCAUAUCAAUAAGCGGAGGAA